rnacentral:lncRNA from 1 species
AUGUGCUCUGAGAAUCCCAAGACCCUUCAGGUGCCUGUCUUGGCGGGUACUCCCAGGCGGCUGCAUCAUGAAUCUCCUGGGUGGGGGUUGCUGGCCUGGAGUCACUUCUUCCGGAGGCGAAGCUGUCGCUGGAGGAGCCAAUCUCCAUUCCUGCUGGGAUCGAUGCUGUGGAGACUGCAUAAAUUGGAUCCGAACAAAACCACAGUUACUUCGCCAAGGAACAAUGCGACCAACCACAGCCGCACAGUUCUCAGCAAAUUUAUGAAUGUGUUUCCCCAAGGAACGUGUUCUGGGCAUAGACCAAGGGGUCAGGCCUUUUAUUUAGUGAGUGAGUUUACUUUAGCAGUUUCUCCCUUAGAAAUAGGAAUCUGUAACUUUCAGUCUUUUGAGCAUAUUUUUAAAGAGUCAUCCAAAAUACUUCUUAAAAAACGCAACUAUUUUUAGGUGCAAUGAAUUGCCCUUGGCAAUGCAAGUAUUGUGUGACCAUCCCUAGGUCAAUUGCUCUUUAAAGUUUUGGUCUUUUGCUCUUAAAGUUUGGUCUUGGGACGGUUUGUGGCUUCACUUUUUUUUUUUUUAUUUAUAUUGCCCUUAAAGUAAUGGGCCUUUAUUCUUGGGAUAACUCUCAAUGAUAUUCAUAUCAAAGGUCAAGGUUAAGUCUCCUUGGAAUGGUACUGAUUGCUGUUAUACAAUCUGCCCAUGGCACUGAAGCCCAUAGAGAUGUGGAGACCAUGAGAAGACUCUCACAGUAAAAGGAAAUGUUGAUGAGCUCACCCUACUAGAGGGAAUUUGGCCCUGGGGAACAUGGCUCCAAGCUUAGAUUGUGGCCUUAAUGGAAACCUCUUGGAAUUUUCUUGAAUCCACUGCUCAACAGUGCUAAUAGAGAAUUAGUUGGAUGCGAUCGGUCAAGGGGACAGGCUGCUUCUAUGAUGGUGAUGGCCCUGGGUGUGACAUAGAAGGGAUAAAGUGAUUCCAGUGAAUGAGAUGAGGAUGCUGGGAGGAGGCGUACGGGACAGAAGACCUGGCUAUACUUCUUUGAUUAGGGCUUUGUAGUCAUCAGUAGACUAGGAAGUGAGAUUCUCUUUUGCACCCAUAAGAAACUGACUUUUGUGAAUGUGCGUCCAUAAAUAGGAAAUAAAUACACCAAAAGCCUUGUAAACGUGAAUGGU